rnacentral:misc_RNA from 1 species
GAUGAAGAACGUAGCGAAAUGCGAUAAGUAAUGUGAAUUGCAGAAUUCAGUGAAUCAUCGAAUCUUUGAACGCACAUUGCGCCCCUUGGUAUUCCGGGGGGCAUGCCUGUUCGAGCGUCAUUAUCACCCCUCAAGCUCAGCUUGGUGUUGGGGCCGGCCCGUCACAGGGCCGCCCCUAAAAGCAGUGGCGGUGCCAUCUGGCUCUACGCGUAGUAAUACUCCUCGCGACAGAGUCCCGGUGGUCUCCUGCCAGAACCCCCCAUUUUUUAAUGAUUGACCUCGGAUCAGGUAGGGAUACCCGCUGAACUUAAGCAUAUCAAUAAGCGGAGGA